rnacentral:lncRNA from 1 species
AAAUUUAAGCUCAGAAAAAAUGUUAUGACUAUCUAAAAAUUUAAAUCAAAUUUAAUUUCCCUUUUAUUUUUUAAUUCUAAGAAAACCCUUAAAUACAGCCCAUUCAACAAAUUUAACCAAGUAUAUUUUUCUCUUGGCCUUCAGGUUUUAUUAUAGAUGUUUGUCACAAAUUCAAUAAUGAAAGAGGAAAGGAGUAAACAGAGAAAGAUUGCAGUCUCUAUUACCCUAUUGCGAAAUCUCCCUGUCUAUGACUAGCCUCGAAAUCCCAAUUUCCAGAGGACAAGGAUCUGGACAUCCACUGCUCUGUCUCUUUCUCUCUCUCUCUCUGUCUUUCUCUCUCUCUGAAUCGCUAGCUUAUUGUUGCUCUCUAAGUAGACAUACGUGAGGCCAACAAUCAUAGGAAAAAAAACUCAACAUCACUCAUUAUUAGAAAAAUUCAAAUA